AACGAACGCUGGCGGCAGGCCUAACACAUGCAAGUCGAGCGCCCCGCAAGGGGAGCGGCGGACGGGUGAGUAACGCGUGGGAACGUACCCUUUGCUACGGAAUAGCCUCGGGAAACUGGGAGUAAUACCGUAUGUGCCCUUCGGGGGAAAGAUUUAUCGGCAAAGGAUCGGCCCGCGUUGGAUUAGGUAGUUGGUGGGGUAAUGGCCUACCAAGCCGACGAUCCAUAGCUGGUUUGAGAGGAUGAUCAGCCACACUGGGACUGAGACACGGCCCAGACUCCUACGGGAGGCAGCAGUGGGGAAUCUUAGACAAUGGGCGCAAGCCUGAUCUAGCCAUGCCGCGUGAGCGACGAAGGCCUUAGGGUUGUAACGCUCUUUCAGUGGGGAAGAUAAUGACUGUACCCACAGAAGAAGCCCCGGCUAACUCCGUG
rnacentral:rRNA from 1 species